AGACCCGAAACCCGGUGAUCUAGCCAUGGGCAGGUUGAAGGUUGGGUAACACUAACUGGAGGACCGAACCGACUAAUGUUGAAAAAUUAGCGGAUGACCUGUGGCUGGGGGUGAAAGGCCAAUCAAACCGGGAGAUAGCUGGUUCUCCCCGAAAGCUAUUUAGGUAGCGCCUCGUGAAUUCAUCUCCGGGGGUAGAGCACUGUUUCGGCUAGGGGGCCAUCCCGGCUUACCAACCCGAUGCAAACUGCGAAUACCGGAGAAUGUUAUCACGGGAGACACACGGCGGGUGCUAACGUCCGUCGUGAAGAGGGAAACAACCCAGACCGCCAGCUAAGGUCCCAAAGUCAUGGUUAAGUGGGAAACGAUGUGGGAAGGCCCAGACAGCCAGGAUGUUGGCUUAGAAGCAGCCAUCAUUUAAAGAAAGCGUAAUAGCUCACUGGUCGAGUCGGCCUGCGCGGAAGAUGUAACGGGGCUAAACCAUGCACCGAAGCUGCGGCAGCGACACUCAGGUGUUGUUGGGUAGGGGAGCGUUCUGUAAGCCUGUGAAGGUGUGUCGUGAGGCAUGCUGGAGGUAUCAGAAGUGCGAAUGCUGACAUAAGUAACGAUAAAGCGGGUGAAA
rnacentral:rRNA from 1 species